UCAACUAGAUCCAAUCCAUUUUUCUAUUGUCAAAUUUUUUUAUUAUUAUUUUUUUUAAUGAGGUAAAAUUUUUAUUUUUUACUUUUUUUUAUUCGAACAAAUAUGAUACUCAUUUUUGUACUUAUCUAUUUAGGAAAUUGUUUCAACGUCCCUCCCUGAUUUAUAACUCUAUGUUAGAUCCUGAUGUGAGGAAAUUAGUACGUCAUCAUUUGCGUCAUCACUCACCAUUAACCCACGGCCACGCCACCGCGACCACGCACCUCAGUUGAGCUUUCCCUUUGCAGUCAUCGUCUUCUCUGUCUCUGUCUCUCUCUCUCUCUUCUGACUCGAAAUCACAUCGGUUUGUUUAUAUAUUUAUAUAAUUUCCAUCUCCAUGUAAUGGAUUAAUUU
rnacentral:lncRNA from 1 species